rnacentral:ncRNA from 1 species
UAGUCUGAACUAACCCCUUUCCAAAUGUACGGUUACCGAUUAUUACAGCCCGAUCAAGAUCUUGUAAAGAACCUGCAAGGAUUUCUGAUGAAGAAGCCGUACCACUGUUCACUAAUACGACCAAUGGGAUUUCAAGAUCCAACGGUUCACGCAAAGUUUUAUAGGUAUUACUAGCCUGCUUGAUUUUUCCCUUUGUCGUUACCAACGUUUUACCACGGGGUAAAAAGAAAUUAGCAAUCUCUACAGCCUCAUCCAGCAAACCACCGCCAUUGUUACGCA